UACGUAGGGUGCGAGCGUUGUCCGGAAUUAUUGGGCGUAAAGGGCUCGUAGGCGGUUUGUCGCGUCGGGAGUGAAAUCCACUGGCUUAACUGGUGGCUUUGCUUUUCGAUACGGGCAGACUGGAGGUAUGCAGGGGAGAACGGAAUUCCUGGUGUAGCGGUGAAAUGCGCAGAUAUCAGGAGGAACACCGGUGGCGAAGGCGGGUCUCUGGGCCGAUACUGACGCUGAGGAGCGAAAGCGUGGGGAGCGAACAGG
rnacentral:rRNA from 1 species